rnacentral:pre_miRNA from 1 species
UGGACAUAUUAUUGUAUUCGACUGUAUUCACGGCGUGAAACAGGGGAUUACACUGUUUUAAACGGAAAGUGAAUCAAUUAAUAUAAUAGACUCCU